rnacentral:rRNA from 1 species
GAUGAACGCUAGCGGGAGGCUUAACACAUGCAAGUCGAGCGGGAUUCACCUUCGGGUGAUGAGAGCGGCGCACGGGUGCGUAACGCGUAUGCAACCUACCUUAUACAAAGGGAUAGCCCAUGGAAACGUGGAUUAAUAUCUUAUGGGACUAAUUAAUCGCAUGGUUGAUUAGUUAAAAUUUCGGUGGUAUAAGAUGGGCAUGCGUCUGAUUAGCUAGUUGGUGAGGUAACGGCUCACCAAGGCGACGAUCAGUAGGGGUUCUGAGAGGAUUACCCCCCCACACUGGUACUGAGACACGGACCAGACUCCUACGGGAGGCAGCAGUGAGGAAUAUUGGUCAAUGGACGAAAGUCUGAACCAGCCAUCCCGCGUGCAGGAUGACGGCCCUAUGGGUUGUAAACUGCUUUUCUACGCCAAGAAACCUACCAACGUGUUGGUAGCUGACGGUAGCGUAGGAAUAAGCACCGGCUAACUCCGUG